GAUGUUAUAGCUCAGGGAUAGAGCGCCUGCCCAGCAUGCAUGAGGUUUUGGGUUCAAUCCCCAGUACCUCUG
rnacentral:tRNA from 1 species